GCUAAAAUCGACUAAAAGGGCUCGCUAGUGCUCAGAAUUUUUCUUCCUUCUCGCAAGCAGUAGCUGGGCCAAUCGUCCCAUCCUCUAUUUAUUCCCGCAAUCACUGCCAAAGUACCCUAUCUCUAAGGACAGAAGAGGAAAAAGUCCUCGUACUAAAAGGGACUACUAUUACGGCUUGGUUGACUACAAGCUCAGAAUUCUUCUUCUUCUUCAUCUCUGCUAACACAGAAGCAGCAGAACCACCACCAAUCGUCUUGGUGGAUUUUCCUCCUUCCCUCCCUCCCUCCCUCCCUCCCUCUAUCCAUCCAUCCGUCCCUCCCUCCCUCCUCCGUGAGGCAGCUGGGAGGGAGUGAGUGGUUUAGUCCGUGGGUUGAGGCAGUGCGCGAAGAGAUCAGUGUGUGUCCCCCCCUCAUACCCAUAGUCACUCACUCACCGCUCCUGGUGAUCGAGGCGGCCAGGGCACGCGCGUUGGUUGGUUGGAUGGUUGGAUGGUUGGUCCCUGGUGGUCGUGCGUGCUCGUGUGUCGGUGGUGCCUCGGUCGUUAUUUUUUUUUCUUCCUCCUCUCUCUCUCUCCCGUUGGUGACUGGCGAGUAGCGGAGGGAGAUGCGACAGACAGAGAUAGUAACUGUAGUAAUAGUCGUAGUAGUAGCCGUCGUAGUACCAAUGGCUGGCGGAGGCAAAAAGUACUAACGCCCGGCCUGUUUGCGGUGGGUGGUCGCUAUGGUGAUGGUGAUGCAGUCUUGUGUACUAAUAGACCAACCAAACAACGGCUCGUCGUCUCACGUGACACCAACAGGCAGACAGUAUCUCUCAGACUUGCGCAGCUGCGGAAUUUUGGAGCGUGCUGACGUGACGUCACAUGCUUGAUUGUCGCAUUUGGCGAGACCGAGAGUAGGAGGAAAAAAAGGGCGAGUUGAAGAAAGGAAAGUAGAGGAGAAAAGAAAGGACGGACAGUUUGGAGAAAAGGGAGGAAAGACGUGCUGAGAUAGAAGUACCGAGUACCCGCCAAAGAUAGACUGUUUGCUGUGUGGACAAA